GACGAACGCUGGCGGCGUGCUUAACACAUGCAAGUCGAACGGAAAGGCCCUGCUUUUGUGGGGUGCUCGAGUGGCGAACGGGUGAGUAACACGUGAGUAACCUGCCCUUGACUUUGGGAUAACUUCAGGAAACUGGGGCUAAUACCGGAUAGGAGUUCCUGCUGCAUGGUGGGGGUUGGAAAGUUUCGGCGGUUGGGGAUGGACUCGCGGCUUAUCAGCUUGUUGGUGGGGUAGUGGCUGACCAAGGCUUUGCCGGGUAGCCGGGCUGCGAGGGUGACAGGCCACAUUGGGCCUGAGAUACGGCACAGACCACUACGGGAGGCAGCAGUGGGGAAUAUUGCACAAUGGGAGGAAGCCUGAUGCAGCAACGCCGCGUGCGGGAUGACGGCCUUCGGGUUGUAAACCGCUUUCGCCUGUGACGAAGCGUGAGUGACGGUAAUGGGUAAAGAAGCACCGGCUAACUACGUG
rnacentral:rRNA from 1 species